rnacentral:ncRNA from 2 species
CGACCUAUACCCGGCCGUCGGGG